UGACUGGGGUAAAAUAUCUGCCCCCCUAAUCAGUAAUGAUUAGUGAAUAAACCCUGUUAAUUGCGGGGAAUCCCUUAGAGCCUUAGCUACUAACAUAUCAUGGUGACAUAGAUAUGGGCGUUGCUAAUCACAACGGUAUAGUAAAAAGGUUAAGGAUAGGGUAAUCCGCAGCCAAGCCUCUCAAGUAGAGGAAGGUUCAACGACUAAACUUCCGGGUAACCCUACAAAUGGGUAGGGCUAGAACCGGAUAAUAGUUGCAUUAUAACUAUCGUGGAUGUAAUAUAUCUUUAGGAGCUGUAUUAUGCCUAAACGUAAGACUAAUCAAGAGUGGGUUAAUGAAG
rnacentral:ribozyme from 1 species